AUUGAACGCUGGCGGCAGGCCUAACACAUGCAAGUCGAACGGUAACAGGAAGAAGCUUGCUUCUUUGCUGACGAGUGGCGGACGGGUGAGUAAUGUCUGGGAAACUGCCUGAUGGAGGGGGAUAACUACUGGAAACGGUAGCUAAUACCGCAUAACGUCGCAAGACCAAAGAGGGGGACCUUCGGGCCUCUUGCCAUCGGAUGUGCCCAGAUGGGAUUAGCUAGUAGGUGGGGUAACGGCUCACCUAGGCGACGAUCCCUAGCUGGUCUGAGAGGAUGACCAGCCACACUGGAACUGAGACACGGUCCAGACUCCGACGGGAGGCAGCAGUGGGGAAUAUUGCACAAUGGGCGCAAGCCUGAUGCAGCCAUGCCGCGUGUAUGAAGAAGGCCUUCGGGUUGUAAAGUACUUUCAGCGGGGAGGAAGGGAGUAAAGUUAAUACCUUUGCUCAUUGACGUUACCCGCAGAAGAAGCACCGGCUAACUCCG
rnacentral:rRNA from 1 species